rnacentral:rRNA from 1 species
UGCCUAAUACAUGCAAGUCGAACGCUUUUUCUUUCACCGGAGCUUGCUCCACCGAAAGAAAAGGAGUGGCGAACGGGUGAGUAACACGUGGGUAACCUGCCCAUCAGAAGGGGAUAACACUUGGAAACAGGUGCUAAUACCGUAUAACAAUCGAAACCGCAUGGUUUCGGUUUGAAAGGCGCUUUUGCGUCACUGAUGGAUGGACCCGCGGUGCAUUAGCUAGUUGGUGAGGUAACGGCUCACCAAGGCAACGAUGCAUAGCCGACCUGAGAGGGUGAUCGGCCACAUUGGGACUGAGACACGGCCCAAACUCCUACGGGAGGCAGCAGUAGGGAAUCUUCGGCAAUGGACGCAAGUCUGACCGAGCAACGCCGCGUGAGUGAAGAAGGUUUUCGGAUCGUAAAACUCUGUUGUUAGAGAAGAACAAGGAUGAGAGUAGAACGUUCAUCCCUUGACGGUAUCUAACCAGAAAGCCACGGCUAACUACGUGCCAGCAGCCGCGGUAAUACGUAGGUGGCAAGCGUUGUCCGGAUUUAUUGGGCGUAAGCGAGCGCAGGCGGUUUCUUAGUUUGUGUAAAGCCCCCGGUCACCGGGGAGGUCAU